UAGGUCUACUGCCUUGCAAGGCCCCAGUGG
rnacentral:piRNA from 1 species